rnacentral:lncRNA from 1 species
GAUGCGGUAUGGCGAGAUUUGGGGCCCAGAUUUUCAAGAUGUGGUAGUUGUGACUAUUUUAUUUAUUUUGGAGCCAGCUGGGCUGCUUUGAAUUUGAUAAGAAGUGAGAAAUUCUUAGAUUGGAUCUAAUCUAGCUAGUAAGCUUCAGAUCGAUAGAUGGCAUGCCCCGUGGAGAUGAGAGUCGCUCCGAUGCUAGUGACUAAGGAUUC